GAUGAACGCUGGCGGCGUGCCUAAUACAUGCAAGUCGAGCGAACAGACGAGGAGCUUGCUCCUCUGACGUUAGCGGCGGACGGGUGAGUAACACGUGGAUAACCUACCUAUAAGACUGGGAUAACUUCGGGAAACCGGAGCUAAUACCGGAUAAUAUAUUGAACCGCAUGGUUCAAUAGUGAAAGACGGUUUUGCUGUCACUUAUAGAUGGAUCCUCGCCGCAUUAGCUAGUUGGUAAGGUAACGGCUUACCAAGGCAACGAUGCGUAGCCGACCCGAGAGGGUGAUCGGCCACACUGGAACUGAGACACGGUCCAGAAUCCUACGGGAGGCAGCAGUAGGGAAUCUUCCGCAAUGGGCGAAAGCCUGACGGAGCAACGCCGCGUGAGUGAUGAAGGUCUUCGGAUCGUAAAACUCUGUUAUUAGGGAAGAACAAAUGUGUAAGUAACUAUGCACGUCUUGACGGUACCUAAUCAGAAAGCCACGGCUAACUACGUG
rnacentral:rRNA from 1 species